rnacentral:rRNA from 1 species
GACGAACGCUGGCGGCGUGCUUAACACAUGCAAGUCGAACGGUAAGGCCCUUCGGGGUACACGAGUGGCGAACGGGUGAGUAACACGUGGGUGAUCUGCCCUGCACUUCGGGAUAAGCCUGGGAAAACUGGGUCUAAUACCGGAUAGGACCACUGCCUGCAUGGGUGGUGGUGGAAAGCUUUUGCGGUGUGGGAUGGGCCCGCGGCCUAGCAGCUUGUUGGUGGGGUGAUGGCCUACCCAGGCGACGACGGGGAGCCGGCCUGGGAGGGUGACCGGCCACACUGGGACUGAGCUACGGCCCAGAGUCGUACGGGGGGCAUCAGUGGGGAAUAUUGCACAAUGGGCGCAAGCCUGAUGCAGCGACGCCGCGGGAGGGAUGACGGCCUUCGGGUUGUAAACCUCUUUCAGCACCGACGAAGCGCAAGUGACGGUAGGUGCAGAAGAAGGACCGGCCAACUACGUGCCAGCAGCCGCCGUAA